AUGGAGUUCUUCUACCGUCAUCACAUCACCGUCAUCGCAGCCACCGUUUUGUUUUCUCGUUCCAUUUUCGAUCGCGGUCUCGGUUUCCAUUUUCGUUUCAUCACCGCUUAUUUUUUAAGCCAUCUCUUUUCAAGUUUAGCUUGGAGUAAGAAUGCACAUAUAAUGUUUGAUGAAAAGCUUCACAAGAGCCGAACAUUUUGGAAUAACAUUUUGUCUUUGUAG